rnacentral:rRNA from 1 species
UACGUAGGGUGCGAGCGUUGUCCGGAAUUACUGGGCGUAAAGAGCUCGUAGGUGGUUUGUCGCGUUGUUCGUGAAAUCUCACGGCUUAACUGUGAGCGUGCGGGCGAUACUGGCAGACUAGAGUACUGCAGGGGAGACUGGAAUUCCUGGUGUAGCGGUGGAAUGCGCAGAUAUCGGGAGGAACACCGGUGGCGAAGGCAGGUCUCUGGGCAUGAACUGACGCUGAGGAGCGAAAGCAUGGGGAGCGAACAGG